GGGAAUUCCCGGAUCGAUGUGUUUUCUUUCACUUCCAUCUUCCGUGUUACCACUAAUAACAGACGUCUUGUCUUCUAGUGUGUCAAGCUAUUAUUUUCAUUACUUAAUAACUUAUAUUUCCACUGAAUACCUGGCUGAGACUGGAAUAUGGGUCAGCAG
rnacentral:misc_RNA from 1 species